rnacentral:rRNA from 1 species
UACGUAGGGUGCAAGCGUUAUCCGGAAUUAUUGGGCGUAAAGAGCUCGUAGGCGGUUUGUCGCGUCUGCUGUGAAAGACCGGGGCUCAACUCCGGUGCUGCAGUGGGUACGGGCAGACUAGAGUGCAGUAGGGGAGACUGGAAUUCCUGGUGUAGCGGUGAAAUGCGCAGAUAUCAGGAGGAACACCGAUGGCGAAGGCAGGUCUCUGGGCUGUAACUGACGCUGAGGAGCGAAAGCAUGGGGAGCGAACAGG